UGUUAAAUCUGCACGCUCUCUACCAAAAUGUAAGGACAGGGGGGUCAUCUGUUUGUAUUGUGUCUGUAUUGGUGUUUGUUGUUUAAGUACUUUUUUUUAUUUUGUUAUGCUAAGCCUUUUUUAAUUUGAGUGUGAGCAACAAAAAAUGUCCUCAAAGUUUGUCCAGACGUGACGUGUGUUAGUGAUACGCCUUCUUAGACUGUAAUUGGAUGUUUGGUGCUGCAUUGGACUGUCUGUCAUACUGAUGUCACUUCCUGUCGAGUGCCUUUCGUCUUCUAUUCUACACGGAAACGGUUAGUUGCAUCGUAACCUCGUGAAGAAGUAGAGCUGUAUCGUGAGUAUGGUCAGAAUCAUUCAAACAUUACUUCACAUCAGUGAUUAGAGAAGUUGCAGUGGGACAGUUAAUAAGAGGAUGUAGUUUAUAGAAACGCUCAGCAGCUUUGUGACGUGUGCAGGCCUGCGUUCACCUUACUUUGGAAUAACUUGAAUUUUAGGCCUAGCUCUGUAGCAAACUCAAGCCAUACCGUAUGGAAUCUGUUUGGGGGCAGACAUAUCACUUAUGAAUACAAAAUAUCAAGGUUUAAAGCAUUAAUUGCCAAAAUAUUUAGUCUUAAUUUGUUUACUAGGUAGAAAUGUUAUAGCAGUAUUGAUGCCAGUGUUUUUCACAUUCCACGUGUUGCACUGCGGGGUGAGAAAGCGUUGAAAGAUGUUUGUGCAAACAUUGGCAGACGGCAUGUGGCUAUGUUUAACGUCACCAGUUAUCAAAUGCGCGAUUUUCUCAAUUUGUAGGAUCUAUGGAAAAAGUAACAAGUACAUUAAACAUUAUUAUAUUUUGUAAUUUGCUUAAUGACAACUUAUGCCCACUUGCCUCCGCUUUUGUUACAUGUAAUGAAACAACUACAGUAAACGGAGUUAUGUACUGUUAUAUUACUCACAUAUGUGUGCUAAAGAAAAACAAUAUUCUAGUAUGGUUCCCUCCCGGAAUUAAUUUUGAUUUCUCAGAAAGAGAGGUAAAAUAUAUUAAAAUGAGGAGGGAUACCUUUUAAUAUUGUCAUUGAUGUUUGUGCUUAAUCAGCUUUUUAAAAAUGUGUGUUCCAGCUGCUGGAGCAGUGAAAGGGUCAAUGCUGAUGAACAGCAUGUUAUGUGGACAACACCAAAGGAAUGGUCCUGUCGGCACAGUCAGCUGAACUCUGGUCUGGAACCACAGACGUGAAUGCAGAAUUCCUUUUAUUCAGCAAAUGUGAGCAUGGUUUAAUAUUGAUCAUGAUUACAGUUAAUAGAUUUACGAAACCUCUUUUAAUCAAACAUUUCUUCAGGCACACAAACCUGUUUUGUCAAUUCUUUUCAAGCACCGUUUUUUUUCAGAUAUGUGAGACUAGUAUUUGAAUGAUUUGUUUAUAUUAGGGUUUGCCUUUGUGUUGCCCAUUCAUUGCAUUUUCCAGAUGAAUGAGGUGUCAAACAAGGCAUACAGUGAUUCUUGCACAGGCUUUCCUUCAGGAACUGAACCGUGUGUCUUGUUCCAAGUUACCUAGCAAAGACAGACAGAAAGUAGCAGUAGUAAAUUUGACAAUAUUACUACCAGUACUACAGCUAUGUCAACACGUUUUGCAUCACCUAAUUUUAGGAUUGAGACAUAAUUAAAAGAAAUAUAUUAACAUAUUUUAGAUCUUUUAUUUAACAUGUAAUCAAAGAAACUACAAAAUAUCGCAAGAGUCAACCGGAAGCCAUAACAGUAGUACUUAAUGUUAUAUUCCGAAAUGCCACAUUAAAAAAAAAAAAACCCAAAACAUUUUUUUUGUUAAGUACUGUCUGUUUGUGAAAUAAAAUAAAACACUUGGCAUGUGUGAUUAGUAACUGUUACUGUAUUGAACCACCACAAGUACACCUGUUCCCCAAGCAAAGACAAUUGUGCAUACUGAGAGUGAAACUAACUUUUGACGUCCCGUUGAUGGAAUGCUUUGUCUCACAGUGUUAAAUCUGCACGCUCUCUACCAAAAUGUAAGGACAGGGGGGUCAUCUGUUUGUAUUGUGUCUGUAUUGGUGUUUGUUGUUUAAGUACUUUUUUUUAUUUUGUUAUGCUAAGCCUUUUUUAAUUUGAGUGUGAGCAACAAAAAAUGUCCUCAAAGUUUGUCCAGACGUGACGUGUGUUAGUGAUACGCCUUCUUAGACUGUAAUUGGAUGUUUGGUGCUGCAUUGGACUGUCUGUCAUACUGAUGUCACUUCCUGUCGAGUGCCUUUCGUCUUCUAUUCUACACGGAAACGGUUAGUUGCAUCGUAACCUCGUGAAGAAGUAGAGCUGUAUCGUGAGUAUGCUGCUGGAGCAGUGAAAGGGUCAAUGCUGAUGAACAGCAUGUUAUGUGGACAACACCAAAGGAAUGGUCCUGUCGGCACAGUCAGCUGAACUCUGGUCUGGAACCACAGACGUGAAUGCAGAAUUCCUUUUAUUCAGCAAAUCUGCUGGAGCAGUGAAAGGGUAAAUGCUGAUGAACAGCAUGUUAUGUGGACAACACCAAAGGAAUGGUCCUGUCGGCACAGUCAGCUGGACUCUGGUCUGGAACCACAGACGUGAAUGCAGAAUUCCUUUUAUUCAGCAAAUGUAUGGUGUUGAUGCAGUGAUUUGAUUGAAUUCAAAAUGUGAUUCUUGCUAGCGAGAAGGUACUCUCCAAUGGGUAGUUCUGAUGAAUUGCACUACUUGUCCCUGGGAUCACACAUGGAGGUUUGACAGUCAACUUUCUGGAGGCCUUGUAAAUGAUCUGAUAUUAUGUGGAUGGGCAUUGAUUGCUGCAGCACAACAUAAUUAAAGCUUCUUUCUUGCCAAUAAAAAAUUAAAUACAAA